GAUGAACGCUGGCGGCGUGCCUAAUACAUGCAAGUCGAGCGAACAGACGAGGAGCUUGCUCCUCUGACGUUAGCGGCGGACGGGUGAGUAACACGUGGAUAACCUACCUAUAAGACUGGGAUAACUUCGGGAAACCGGAGCUAAUACCGGAUAAUAUAUUGAACCGCAUGGUUCAAUAGUGAAAGACGGUUUUGCUGUCACUUAUAGAUGGAUCCGCGCCGCAUUAGCUAGUUGGUAAGGUAACGGCUUACCAAGGCAACGAUGCGUAGCCGACCUGAGAGGGUGAUCGGCCACACUGGAACUGAGACACGGUCCAGACUCCUACGGGAGGCAGCAGUAGGGAAUCUUCCGCAAUGGGCGAAAGCUUGACGGAGCAACGCCGCGUGAGUGAUGAAGGUCUUCGGAUCGUAAAACUCUGUUAUUAGGGAAGAACAAAUGUGUAAGUAACUAUGCACGUCUUGACAGCACCUAAUCAGAAAGCCACGGCUAACUACGUG
rnacentral:rRNA from 1 species